AGUGAACGCUGGCGGUAGGCCUAACACAUGCAAGCCGAACGGCAGCACAGUAAGAGCUUGCUCUUACGGGUGGCGAGUGGCGGACGGGUGAGGAAUACAUCGGAAUCUACUUUUUCGUGGGGGUUAACGUAGGGAAACUUACGCUAAUACCGCAUACGACCUACGGGUGAAAGCAGGGGAUCUUCGGACCUUGCGCGAUUGAAUGAGCCGAUGUCGGAUUAGCUAGUUGGCGGGGUAAAGGCCCACCAAGGCGACGAUCCGUAGCUGGUCUGAGAGGAUGAUCAGCCACACUGGAACUGAGACACGGUCCAGACUCCUACGGGAGGCAGCAGUGGGGAAUAUUGGACAAUGGGCGCAAGCCUGAUCCAGCCAUACCGCGUGGGUGAAGAAGGCCUUCGGGUUGUAAAGCCCUUUUGUUGGGAAAGAAAAGCAGCAGGUUAAUACCCCGCUGUUCUGACGGUACCCAAAGAAUAAGCACCGGCUAACUUCGUG
rnacentral:rRNA from 1 species